UUACGGUCAAAUCACGCUGAAACACCGGUUCUCGUUCGAUCACCGAAGUUAAGCAUCGUAGAGCCAGGUCAGUAGUUAGAUGGGGGACCGCUUGGGAACACCUGGUACUGUAAG
rnacentral:rRNA from 1 species